UGCGCUCCACGCGGUGCCACUUGUCGUUCUUGUCCUCCUUCUCCUUUGUGCGCUCGCCGCUGACGACCAGCACGUUGCCGUCCUCCACCUCCACCUUGACCUCCUCCUUCUUCACGCCGGGGAGGUCGGCCUUGAAGACGUGCGCCUCGGGGGUCUCCUUCCAAUCCAUCCGGGCGUUGGCGAACGCGGCCGUCUCGCUGUUGCCGCCUGAGAUCGCCGGGACGAUGGAGCGGAAGGUGUCGAAGGGGUCCGCCCAGAGGUCCGCCAAGGGGUCGAACACGUUGCUCCGCCUCACGAUCGACAUUCUCGGUGUUGCUUCGGUUUGUAGCUCGGGGGGAAAUUCUGUAUCGGAUCGUACGUAGGAUUUUGCUUGACGCUGGCUUGAGUUUGGGAUGGCGGGCGAUGGGACUGAGGCCAGCUACUUAUAGCGUCGUCGGCUGCUGGUCUUGAAGCAUCUCGAGAACUCUCAAAUCGACGGGAGUUUGGUUCUCCUUCGGUUUCCAGCCAGGCUGUGAGCCAUUCUUUCUUCCUUCGGUUAUCAGCCCUUGAAGGGCCUACCGUCUUCUAGAGUCUCCUACUUGCCGUUAGUGGGCCUUCUCUCUAUUUCUUGUUAAUAAUUGUACCAGCACCUGGGCCACUAUUCUAGAAUGUGUUGCGGGGCCGUCUCUAGAAGAGGACAUGGAAACCAGAGAAACUAAGGGUAACCUCCGCCGACGGCACUUUUCUAGCGUGGAGCGUUUCAAAGUCGCUACGUGAACCGUGUUGGGCGUUUUCUCAUUGAAAUGGUUUUUCUUCGGGUUUCCUAUAAAACUUUUCUGUUUUUGGUUUGCGUUUUUUAUUAUUUACUUAUUUUUUAUUUUGAAUUCUUUUCACUGUUCUCAUUUUUUCUUGUUUCAUUUUUUUGGGGUUUUAUGUCUGGCAAGCGCGUGUGCUUCUUCAAAAUGAGCACGGUUGUGUUUCACCUUGCGGACGCACAAGCACUUGCAAGUUGAAACUACAGUUUAGUACAAUUUGGAAGCACAAGUUACUACUAGUUAGAAGCACAAAUUUGCCCAAAAAGUUCUUGUCGAAACAUAUCAACAUGAGAUCUAAUUUCGAAGAUCUUGACGUGAGAAAUACAAUGUUGAAAAUGGUUCAUGUUUUGGACGUAGAUUCAGCAGAUAAAACUCUUUGAAAAAAUAUCUAUAAAAGAAGAACACAAACCCACCGGCGCCUCCAUACUGUCACAAAAAAUUCUGACCAAAACUGUCUGGUUGCGACAAGUCUCGCACGUGCAGUCACCACUUAUCGCCACCAGGGGAGGCGAUAGUGCAAGGGUUACCCGUUAACUACUGAUUUUGGAGAACUAGAGGUGCCGUGUAAGGAGGAGUCGGAGGGCCAAUCCUAGCGGGCAAACGCGAUGUUAUAUGGGCCAGCCAUUUUUCCAUAGUUCUUCUCUUUACCUUUUUCUUUCUUUUGUUUUUUCAUUCAGUUUCAGUUUCAUAUAUUUUUCAUUUUUUUAUUUUAAAAUCAAUAAUAUUUUCUAGAAUUCACGAAUAUUUUAUGAACUCUGCAUCAUUGUUUCAGAAAUAUAUUUUAAGUAUUUUACCAUUUUUUAAGUCAUAAAUGUUAUUCAAAUUCAUGAAUAGUAUUUUAGUUCACUUUUCUUAGUCACGGUUCACAUUUCUUUUGAUAUCCUUGAAAAACUUGAAAUAUUCAUGAACACUUUUAUAAGUACAUGAACAUUUUUAAAUUUGUAUUUUUAAAAAUCCGAACACAUUUUCUGCAAUUGAAAACAUUUUUUUGAAAUUUAGGAAAAUUUAAUGAGUUGUCAAAUCUUUUGAAAAUUCACAAAUAAUUUCUCAAAUUCACAAAACAAAAAUCGAAAUCAUAUUUUUUACAAAUUCACGAACAAUUAUUCUGAAUCAUGAAUAUAUUUUGAAAUUCAUGAUUAUAUAUUUUUCCAUAAUUUUGUUUAAAAAGGAAUCCUAAGAGAAUUAAUACACAAGUGCACACACUUCCGCACUAGGCCGACCCAAAGCGCUUGGAGGUACACGUUUGACUAGGCGGUCCCGAGUGAGUCCUCAUCUUCACCGCCUUAAGCCCAAGCCGAACGUGUCCCAACUUCGCGCUAGCUGCUCGCUCGCUUUGCCCAGUAGAUCUUUUUUCGUUUUUUCUACAGUUGGUCUGGUAGAUAAAAACCGAUUGGUCAUAAUACUGUUGAAAAAACUCAUCAUCGAUAUAAGUUCACAGAUUUACUAAAGAAAAGUGCACAAAAAAGAAAAAAUUCCAAAUUUUGAAAAGGUUGAUGAAUUUGAAAAGGUUCACGAAUUUGAAAAAAGUUCAUUGAUAUUUCAAAAGAAGUUCACGAGUUUAAAAGAAGUUUUCAAAAUGAAAGAAAAUCAAAUUGAGAAAAGUUCCAUGCAUUUGAAAAAUGGAAAAAGAAAAAGGAAAUAAAUACAAAAAGAAUGAAAAAAUGAUCCGGAAAAAACUAAAACAUCAAAAAACGCCCGGGAAGCUUCUGGAGCCUGGACUAUUCUAACGUCUGCUUCUUAAAUGGUCCAGGCUCAUAAUUACGCGCGCAUGUAAGAAUGUGUGUCAACCACACACGUAGGCAGGUAAGCUAUUUUUUCACUUUUUUGUAUUUUGAAGUAUUUUAAAUACAUAUAUUAAAAAAUUUACUUGAAUUACAAAAAGUGUUGAUAGCGCAUUUAAAAAAAUCAUGCAUUGUAAAAAAAGUCCGUGAUAGCUUUCGAAUAAAUGUUCGUGAUUUCUAAACAUAUUUCAUCGUUUCAAAAUUUAUAUUUGUGAUAUUUUAGAAAAUGUGCAUACAAUAUAAGAUAAUGGUCCCUAUUGAAAAAAACGUUCAUGACAUUUAAAAAAUGUUCUAAUGCUUAAGAAAUAUUUUUCAUGUUUUAGAAAAAAAUUAGGACAUUUAUGAUUUUAUAAUGUUUGUUAAACAAUAUUCACUGUGUAUUCAAAAAGUGUUCACAUGUGUUCAGAAAAUGUUGAACAUGUAUCUUUAAAAACUAAAAAGUUUAAUGUCUAUUCAAAAAAUUCUUAAUGAUGUACUCGAUUUUGUUUUUUCAAUGUGCAUCUGGAAAUGUUAAGCCUGCAUAUGAAAAAUGUUCAACAUGUAUUUAAAUAAAAGUUAAUGUGUAUUUGAAAAAUAAGAAAGAAAACUAGGAACCCUACAAAAGAAAAGGGGGAAUGAAUUGAAAAAAGUCCAAAAGAAAAUUGAAAGAAAAAUCGAAGUAAACCUAUAGAGAAACACACAUACAAGGACGUCUUUAGUCCUAAGUAAAUUGGGUAGGCUAGAGCUGAAAACCAUAACACCCUAUAAUAUCUCGAAAUCAACUCAUGGUUCUGAUAUGUGGAUAGCUAAUUUUCACAUGGGUAGUCGUUUAGUGAUAUUCUAGUCUUUUAAAUCUCUAUUUGCGGACUACUUUCAUGUCAGGUUUUUUCUAGCCCGACCUCUUUUGAUAUUUCCAGCACGCUUUAGCUGUCUACUGUGCACUGGAUCUUUUGAAGGCGUAUGUUAAAUUUGCGCAAAUCAUCUAAGACGAUAUUGGACAAGUUUCUCUUCUGUCGGUGCUAUCCCAACUCUAUUGCAUGUGUCAUCAUUCUGGAUCCGAUUCUUUCUUAUGUGUUCACAUGUGUAUCUCCGCUACACCUAACUGUUGAACAUGUAGCCUUUUAGUCGUCCAACACUCAGCGUCAUACAACAUUGCUUGUUGAAUCGUCGCCCUAUAGAACCUAACUUUUACCUGUGACACUCUCUUGUCACAGAGAACGUCAGAAGCUUGCGCCAGUUCAUUCAUCUGACUUUGAUUUGAUGGCACACAUUUUUAUCAAUAUCACCAUCCUUUUGCAGGAUUGACCCCAAAUAUUAAAAGAUGUCCUUCUGAGGUACCACCUGCCUAUCAAGGUUUACAUCCUCCUCCUCGUUCUAGUAGUACUGAAAUCGCACCUCAUGUACUCGGUUUAUUUCUACUGAGGCUCAACCUUUCGAUUCCAAGGUUUGCCUCCAUAGGUCUAACUUUCUAUUUAACCCUCGUCCGACUAUCAUGGACUAGCAUCACAUCAUCCGCAAAAUAGCAUACACCAUGAGAUAUCUUCUUGUAUAUCCCUUGUAACCUCAUACGUUACCAAAGCAAAAAAGAUAAAGGCUCAAAACUGGCCUUUGGUGCAGUCCUAUAUCAAUUGGGAAGUCAUCAGUGUUAUCAUCACUUGUUCGAACACUUUUCAUAGCAUUUAUUGUACAUGUCCUUGAUGAAGGUAAUGUAUUUUGUUGGAACUUUAUGUUUCUCCGAGGCCCACAACAUGACUACACAAAAAUAAGAAAAACCAGAGAAAAUAGAUAGACACAGAAAAAAUUCGGACAAUAAAGCUUAGUCUCGCAAUAAAGACAUGGCUCCUAUGAUCGCAAGGUGUCACUGUUUCGCAUAGGGGCGUUCCUCAUUGGGCCAACCCAUUUGCGUGAAACUAUAGUGAAUCGGUUCCAGUAUGGUUUUUCUGUCGGUUUAAAAAAUUGAAAAACAAUUAUUGUAAAUGUGGACAUUUGUUGAAUACCUAAAAAUGUUUUGUGUACACUUUUUUGGUAAAAAAUGAUUUAAGAAAAUGUGAACAAUUUUCAAGUAUUCUUUUUAAACAUGGACAUUUUAAACUUGUGAAAUUUUUCCAAAUUUUGUUUUACUACGCGAAGGUUGUUUAAAAUUGUGCAAAAAAAUGUAUUUAAAGAACGUGACCGAUAUUUAUAAAAGUAAAUAAUAUAUUUUCAAAAAUAUAAUUUUUUUUAAAUUUUCUAAAAACCAUGAACAUUUUUCGAAAAUAAAUAAAAGGAAAACAACACUAGGUGGAGCAACUUGUUCAACCCCUUCGCCGAGCCCUUCAAUGUCUUCAAAUAUGCACAAACUACACCUUUUCUACACGGGAGGGGGCGAGGGUUUUAUAUCAAUUAACCUGUAUUAAGAUGAUCCAGGUUAAGAACACGCACCACAUUGGAGGUAUCUAGCAACCCAUCCUCACAAUCUGCUCCACUACGAUGAUUUCGUGGUUCCUGGCAAAGGAAAAAGAGCAACAGUUCUUUAGAAAGGAUUUAGAAAGUAAACCAAAAUAAACCAAUAAUAUCUGUCCGCACCAUCAAAAUAAAGUAGAACUAUAGUGACAUGGGUCGCAUGCCGAAGCAACUUGCACCCUCAUUUUGCGCAUGCCAUCUUCGACCAAAUCGAUCUAGAAGAAAAGCUUUUUUCGGGGAUCCUAGAAGAAAAGUUGGUCUCACAAACACUUGAAUCAUGUAAUUAUGCCCUUCAAUUUUAAAUACCGUGUGGUUUUGGUGGUCUUGGAGUGGUUUUAACAAAAGUUUUGUCGAUGUUCAACUCGAUCGCAUGGCUCCAACACUGCUAUUUUUUCUUCAGAAAUCUCCACUUGUUCUUUUUAAAGCAUAUAAAAUACUAGAGAGAAUAUCUAAUAAAUCAAGAAGACGUAAAAAUUAAAUAAAAAUUAUCUGAUUGUUGGCUUUUUCAUGCUUGGAUGAUAUGAUAUUGGCAUCCUGAAAAAAAAAUGUUAUUGGCAAAACUAGACAAUAUCAGAGAGCUCUGAAAAAUAAACAUAGUUAAGAGUUCUUUUGGCAAAUUUAAAGUCAACUAUUGGUCCAUCGGUUCCAUGCCUGAUUUGUUUUUUUUUUGCGAGAAAAUUUUCAAUCUAUUCAUCAAGGCCUGAUUUGUUUCUUUAACAAAGAAGGAAAAAUUGUUUCUUUAACAAAGAAGGAAAAACACAAUAAUCGUUGGUAGGUCUACUUAGGUCUCUCCUUCCGCCUGCAGCAGGAAAGUCCCAAUCGAAAUAGAAUUUCUGUUGAAACUAGAAACCGGCCACACAGCGCCAAACAUGUUGGAUCCGCAUUCAUGGUGUUGAUCAUUGUAGAGCCACGAUUAUUCCUGUGCACAGUUUUCUUACUCAAUUCUUAAGCAUAAGUUUCUAUAGAAAACAAAGCCUGUCCGUGACCAAGUUUUCGGACAGCCAAUGAAUUUUCCCUUCAGAACAAAUGAUACUUUUCAGCUGCUUGAGAAAAGGAAAAGAGCAGGAAAGCCAUUUUUCUCUUGAUCUUGUCCAUCCGAACAAGAAGCGAAAAGGUCAAAUUUUGUGUGUGCAAAAUGCGCACUGCACUCAAAAGCCGACCGGUUUAUUCAUCACCAAAUCUGUAGGUGAUUACACAAGUAUAUAAACGACUGGGGAAAGAAACGCAAUACAUUGUUCAUAGUUGCCUCGCCAGACUCGAUCAGCAAGAACUGUAGCAUACUUUCAGGUUGCAGACCUCGCACACACAUCAACCAAACUGGCUCCAAUGCUCAGCCGGAGAUCUCGAUGGCUUUCACCUCGGGCUUCUUGACCUCGGCCUUGGGCACGGUGACGGUGAGCACGCCGUUCUCCAGCCCGGCCUUCACCUCCUCCACCUUGGCGUCCUCCGGCAGGCGGAACCGCCUCACGAACUUGCCGCUGCUGCGCUCCACACGGUGCCACUUGUCGUUCUUGUCCUCCUUCUCCUUGGUGCGCUCGCCGCUGACGACGAGCACGUUGCCGUCCUCCACCUCCACCUUGACCUCCUCCUUCUUCACGCCGGGGAGGUCGGCCUUGAAGACGUGCGCCUCGGGGGUCUCCUUCCAGUCCACGCGAGCAUUGGCGAACGCGGCCGUCUCGCUGCUGCCGCCAGAGAUCGCCGGGACGAUGGAGCGGAAGGUGUCGAAGGGGUCCGCCCAGAGGUCGGCGAAGGGGUCGAACACGUUGCUCCACCGCACGAUCGACAUCGUCGGUGUUGAUUGCUUCGGCUUGUGCGCUCGGAAAAUUCUGUAGAUCGUAGGUAGGACUAGGAUGUUGUGUGCUUUUGCUUGACACUGAUUUGAGUUGGAUGGAGGGCGAUAGGGCUGAGGCCAGGUACUUAUAGCGUCGUCGGCUGCUGGUCUUGAAGCAUCUCGAGAACUCUCCAAUGGGCAAGAGUUUGCUUUCUUCCUUCGGUUAUCAGCCCUUGAAGGGCCUACCGUCUUCUAGAGUCUCCUACUUGCCGUUAGUGGGCCUUCUCUCUAUUUCUUGUUAAUAAUUGUACCAGCACCUGGGCCACUAUUCUAGAAGACGACAUGGAAACCAGACAACUUCGGUGAGCAACUAACGACAACCUCCGCCGAGGGCACUUUUCUAGCGUGGAGCGUUCCAAAGUCGCUACGCGACUCGUGUUGGGCUUUUUUUUUUCAUUGAAACGGUUUCUUUCGGGUUUGUUUUUACUCCCUCCGUUCGUAAUUCUUGUCGCAAGGGCGUUUUUUGCAUUUUAGUCCUUCGAAUUUUCCCGACCAAACCCGCAGUCCACCCGUCUCCUUCCUCGCUUUCUCCAUCGCUCCCCCACGCCGGCGACGGCGCUGCCUCCCCAUCCGUCCCACGCCCAAUGCCACCAUGCUCCCUUACCCACCUCUCCGCCGCACCACGUCGCCGCCUCGUCCCCCCACGCCAGCGCCUCGUUCCCCUGCCAAAACAGAGCAAGCGGCAAGGUUCGAUUUUUGCCACUACCUGGUUCCCUUGCGCGUCGUGGAUCACCUCCUCGCCGACCAGCCUCCGUCGACCUCAUCCCUUCCCCCGCAGCCCCACCCCGUCCCUUCCGCGUCAUCUUGGGCCGGCGGCCCCGCCACGCCGCAGCUCCAGAGAUUCAGACUAAAGCUUUGUUUUGUUUUGAAACUCAAUUCAAGUUCCAUUGCUAUGCACUGAUUUCAGCUCAUGUGGUGUGCCUGGCGUUCCAUCAUGCCAUUGCAUUUCAAUACAUAAGCACAUAGCAGGUCUGAAACCCCUAGGAAAUCAUUUGCAUAUUGUCAACCUACUGUGAAAUGAGUAAUAGCUGCAUCUUCCAGGAUAGUAGUGUGGGCUUCCUCAUUGGUUGCAAACCAAAGCACUUUGACAUGUCAAUCAUGAGUAAAUCAGAAACUAGUCUCAGCUUGAGUAUUGAUCUUGUGCAUUUUCUUUUUCUUUCAGUGAACUAGUCUCAGCUUGAGUCCUGAUCUACUGUAGUUUUUUUAUUUUAAAUUGUUUAAUUGACAAAUCAUUUUAAAUGGUGUGAACAGGUUUCAGUGAACUAGUCUCAGCUUGAAACAGUUAACUAAAUUUUGACAGUGGAGUGGAUCUUGUUUGAACUACUCUGAAUUCUGUUUUUGAAACAUGCAAUCAAGAGCAAUGAUAUUAAGAAAAUUAUGAUUGUAAAACAUUCAAUCUUGACUGCAAGUCAUUGUAGGUACUGGAUAGGUUCAUGAUGACAAGAUGAGAAUUCCUCCCCCUUUCCCUAGAUAAGCCUUCAUUUAGUUGCAGUUCAGUUAACGAGGUUACUGAAUCAUGGAGUACAUUGUGGCUCUGCAGGUCUGGCCCAUCGAUGAUGACGGCUCCUCCUCGUGCUCAGUGGUUCAGAAACGUUCAGUGGGAUUGCAGGUUCAGAAAUGUUCAGUGCUUGUUCAUUUUGUAAGUUCCAUGCUUUCUCUUUUUUGAUCAUGAAUUGUGGGGGCAUCAUUCAUCAAAGCCAUGACAUAAAAAAAGUUGGGUCAUCUUGACAUCCUGUGUUGUGUGUGUGUGCAUGGUGUAGUGUGAGUCUUUCCUCCUUAUCCGGUUGCCCUCCUUUCCUGUCUCUCUGAUUGAAUUCUGAGGCCCUCAUCCUCCCAAGUGCCAAAAGUAUGACUACGCCAUAGCUUCUGUUGUUAUUGUACAUAAACGAGAAAAUUAUGAGUAAACCAUAGCUCCAUCAAUUCUAGAGUAAUCUUGUUGACCAGAUUUACCAAGUUUAGACUUGCUGUUAGUGGAUCAGAACAUGCUGUGAGGAAGUCUAAAUUUACUCAAGGCCUUGUUGUUAAUGCAUCUUUAACUGAUUUUACUCAAGGCCUCGGUUUAACUGAAUUUCCCUUACUGUUAAUUGAUCUCCAGAUUGUGGAGCACUAAGGAACAUCAUGGAGUAAUCCUGAUAAUUGUCCCUAUGUACUGUCAGUCUAAUUGUCUAAUUGUUCACAUCAUGGAGUAAUCUUGUUAAUUGUCCUGAUUGUGGAGCAGUAAGGAACAUCAUGAAAUUUUUAUGACCUGGACUUAUCAUGUGUGAAUAAAAUUAGGAACAGUACUGUACAAGUUCUUCAGACCUUGUUGAUCAACAAAAUUAUUGCCAAAAAAGUUGGUACACAUAUUGGUCUAGAGCUCUGUGUUGUUCUAUUUUUCUAUUGUUGAUCAUUUCCAUGUCCUAAAUUGCAAAGUACAGCUACAAGUCCAAACCUGAACAUUUCAGCUGGAGGACCAUAGAUGAUGAUCAGGUGAGAGUCCAUAAUUCCCUCAAAAAAAUGUGAGAGUCCAUAAUCCAUGCCGUAAUAAUUCCAGUUGCCAAAGUCUUGAUUGAUUGAAUGUUAAAUUAACAUGGUUUAAUGUUUCCAGAAUUAACAUGAUUAAAUGUUUCCAAAAUUAACAAAAUCCCAUUUCCUGAUUGAAUGUUUCCAUAAUUAACAUGAUUGAAUGUUUCCAAGUUAACAAAAUCUUGUCAUUUACUGAUUGAAUGUUUCCAAAGGUAACAUUACCAAUUUUGCAGGAGUACCAGCUGUAGGUGGUCGAAGCAGCAGCAAAAAUAGGCGCCGGUGGUGGCGGGGGCAGCAGCAGUAGUAGGCGUCGUCGGCAAGGAAGGAGCCGGCGGGGAAGGAGAGACUAGGUCGGCGAUUGUAGUCUCCCAGCAGGAGAGACGGGGCGCGGGGAAGGAUCGCGGCGGAAUCACGGAGGUUGGCGGCGGUGCAGCUGGGCGGCGCCGCAGUGGCUGGUCGCGCAGGUGGGCGGAAACUCAGCGAAGUGGCGGAAUUGCGCAGCUGGGCGCCGGCAGGUCCUUGCGGAUCGAGGAUCAGCUCGCCUGGUGGUCGCGGCGCGGUGGACGGCGGAAUCGGCGGGCAACUGGUGGCGGGUAGGUGGAGGUGGGUGGGCUGCGAGCGCCGAAAUCUCCAGCACGGCGACGGAAUCCCACGGCGCUGGCCCUUGGCGACGCGCAGGCGCCGGACGGAGGAAGCAGAAGGAUUCAAGGACCUAUUUGCUACUGCUUUCAAAUUACAAGGUGUUUUUUUGCAAAGCAACCACUGUACUGCGCGCGCGACAUGAAUUUCGGGAUGGGGGGGAGUACUUUUUAUUUUUCCAGUUUUUUGUUUUUCAUGUUAUUAAUUUUUAUUAUUUAUUUGGAUUUCUUUUCUCCAUUCUCAUUUUUUCCUGUUUCAUUAUUUUUGGGUUUUACGUCUGGCAAGAGCGUGUGCUUCUUCAAAAUGAGCACGGUUAUGUUUCACCUUGCGGAAGCACAAGCUAGUUCACUUGCAAGUUGCAACUAUAGUUCAGUACGAUUUGGAAGCACAAGUUACUACUAGUUAGAAGCACAAAUUUGCCCAAAAAGUUCUUAUCAAAACAUAUUAACAUGGGAUCUAAUUUUGAAGAUCUUGACGUAAGAAACACAAUCUUGAAAAUGGUUCAUGAUUUGGACGUAGAUUCAGUAGAUAAAACUCUUUGAAAAAAAUCUAUAUAUGAAAAAAGAACACAAACCCACCGGUGGCUCCCGUACUGUCAAUUUUUUUUUACCAAAAAUGUCUGGUUGCGACAAGUCUCACACAUGCAGUCGCCACUUAUCGCUACCAGGGGAGGCGAGAGUGCAAGGGGUACACGUUAAGGAGGAGCCAGAGGGCCAAUCCUAGCGGGUAAACGCGACGUUAUAUGGGCCAGCCAUUUUUCCAUAGUUUUUCUCUUUACCUAUUUUUCUUUCUUCUAUUUUUUAUUCAGUUUCAUUUUCAUAUUUUUUUCAUUUUUUAUUUUAAAAUUAAUAGCAUUUUCUACAAUUCACGAAUAUUUUAUGAACUCAGCAACAUUUUUUUGCAAAUAUAUUUUCAGUAUUUUACAAUUUUUAAAUCAUAAAUAUUAUUCAAAUUCAUGAAUAGUAUUUUAUUUCAUAUCUUUUUAGUCACAGUUCGCAUUUCUUUUGAUAUCCUUGAACAACAUGAAAUAUUCAUGAACAUUUUUAUAAGUUCAUGAACAAUUUUAAUUUUGGUUUUUUAGAAAUUCGCAAACAUUUUGUGAAAUAAAAAAAUUCUAAAAGUUUCUGAAAAUUUAAUGGGUUAUCAAACCUUUUGAAAAUUCACAAAUAAGUUCUCAAAUUCACAAACAAUUUUCAAAAUCAUAUUAUUUACAAAUUGGCGAACAAUUUUUCUGAAUCAUGAAUAUAUUUUGAAAUUCAUGAUUAUAUAUUUUUCCUGAAUUUGGUUUUAAAAAGGAAUCCUAACCGAAUGAAUACACAAGUGCACACACUUCCGCACUAGGCCUACCCAAAGUGCUAGGAAGUACGUGUAUGCUAGCCUCCCGAGUGAGUCCUCAUCUUCACCGCCUUAAGCCCAAGCGGGACGUGGCCCAACUUCGCGCUAGCCGCUUUCUCGCUUUGCCAAUAGUUUUUUUUUUCGUUUUGUCUACAGUUGGUCUGGUAGGGAAAAACCGGUUAGUUAUAAUACUGUUAAAAGAAUCAUCAUCGAUAAAAGUUCAGCAAUUUACGAAAGAAAAGUUCACACAAAAAAACAAAUUUUUGAGAAGGUUAAUGAAUUUGAAAAGGUUCAUGAAUUUGAGAAAAAGUUCAUUGAUAUUUGAAAAAGAAGUUCACGAAUUUAAAAGAAGUUUUCCAAAUGGAAAAAAAAUCAAACUGAGACAAGUUCCAUGCAUUUGAAACAUAGAAAAGGAAAAAAGAAAAUAAGUAGAAAAAUGAUCCAGAAAAAACUAAAACAUCAAAAAUUGCCAGGAAGCUUCUGGAGCCUGGACCAUUUCCGAACGCCUUUGCGCAAGUUAACAAAAUGCACGUAAACUGCGCGCAGAAAGCGCCGAAUAGGAUUUUGGGUCCCAAGCCAGAUCUCCUAUUUUGCCGCAAACUGCGGCAAGGGGUGUGUGGCUACCUCUCAUCCGCGGGUAGAUGGUAGGUCCGCUGGCAGCUACGCUUCUUAAAUGGUCCGGGCUCAUAAGUAUGUGCGCACGGAAGAAUGUGUCUCAACCACGCAAGUAGGCAGGUAAGUUAUUUUUUUCACUUUUUUGUAUUUUAAAAUAUUUUAAAUACAUAUAUUUCAAAUAAAUAGUUGAAUUAUGAAAAGUGUUGAUCGGGCAUUUAAAAAAAUCAUGCAUUGUAAAAAAACUGUCCGUGAUAUAGCAUUCAAAUACAAUGUUCGUGAUAUAUAAACAUAUUUCAUCGUUUCAUAAAUAUGUUUGUGAUAUUUGUAGAAAAUGUGCAUACAAUAUAAGACAAUGGUCCCAUUCAAAAGAUGGUUCAUGACAUUUCAAAAAUGUUCCAACGCUUAAGAAAUAUUUUGCAUGUUUUAAAAAAAAUCAGGACAUUUAUGAUUGUAUUAUGUUUGUUAAACGAUAUUCACUGUGUAUUCAAAACGUGUUCACAUGUGUUCAGAAAAUGUUGAACAUGUAUCUUUAAAAGCUAAAAAGUUCAAUGUGUAUUCAAAAAAUUCUGAAUGAUGCACUCAAUUUUGCGUUUUCAAUGUGCAUCUGGAAAUGUUAAACCUGCAUAUGAAAAAUGUUCAACAUGUAUUUAAAUAAAAGUUAAUGUGUAUUUGAAAAAUAUGAAAUAACCUAAGAACCCAAUAAAAGAAAAGGGGGAAUGAAUAGAAACAAUCCAAAAGAAAACUGAAUUAAAAAUCAAUUUAAACCCAUAGAGAAACACACAUACAAGAACGUCUUUAGCCCUAAAUAAGUUGGGUAGGCUGGAGCUGAAAACCAUAAGACCUCAUAAUAUCUCGAAGCCAACUCAUGGUUCUGGUAUGUGGAUAGCUAAUUUCCACAAUGGUAGUUCUUUAGUGAAAUUCUAGUCUUUUACAUCUUAUUUACGAACUACUUCCAUGUCAACUUUAGUCUAGCCCGACCUCUUUUGAUAUUUCUAGCACGCAUUAGCCGUCCACUAUGCACUGAAGUUUCUGAAGGCCUAUGCUAAAUUUACGCAAACCAUCUCAGACGAUGUUGGACAAGUUUCUCUUCAGUCAAUGCUACCCCAACUCUAUUGCGUAUGUCAUCAUUCCGGAUCCGAUCCUUUCUUGUGUGUUCACACAUGCAUCUCCGCUACACCUAAUUGUUGAACAUAUAGCCUCUUAGUCGUCCAACACUCAGCGCCAUACAAUAUUGCGAGUCGAAUCAUCGUCCUGUAGAACUUAACUUUUACCUGUGACACUCUCUUGUCACAGAGAACGCCAGAAGCUUGCGCCACUUCAUCCAUCUAAUUUUGAUUUGAUGGCACACGCUUUCAUCAAUAUCACCAUCAUUCUGCAGCAUUGACCCCAAAUAUUAAAAGGUGUCCUUCUAAGGUACCGCCUGCACAUCAAGGCUUACUUCCUCCUCUCCGUGCCUAGUAGUACUGAAACCGCACCUCAUGUACUCAGUUUUAGUUCUACUGAGGCUAAACCUUUCGAUUCUAGGGUUUGCCUCCAUAGCUCUAACUUUCUAUUUAACCCUCAUCCGACCAUGAUGGACUAGCACCACAUCAUCCGCAAAAUAGCAUACACCAUUAGAUAUCUCCUUUUAUAUCCCUUGUAACGUCAGAUGUCACCAAAGCAAAAAAGAUAAAGGCUCAAAGCUGACCCUUGGUGCGGUCCUAUUUUAAUUGGGAAGUCAUCAGUGUUGCCAUCACUUGUUCGAGCACUUUUCAUAACAAUAUUGUACAUGUCCUUGAUAAGGGUAGUGUACUUUGUUGAAACUUUGUGAAAGUGCUAGUUAUCGACUAGAGGGGGAGGGGGUGAAUAGGCGAGUUUUAUGAAAGUCUUCAAAACACGAGGUCUUUGAAGACAAACUGUUGGAAUGAACAUAUAUGAUAUGCAGCGGAAGAUGAACUACACUAGACAAGCCAUAGUCAAGUAAGCAAUAUAGUGAAAACACGAAGACUAACAGCAGCUAGGUAGUAUGGAUUAGAAUGGAAGACAGUAUGAAGCCAAACAGGUAAUAGUCUUUGCACAGUGAAGUCAAACAGAUCAGGCAGGCAGGCAAUAACUUCACGAAGACAAACUGAAAUGUAAAGAAAGUAGAGGAUAGAACCAGUAUCUUGGUGAAGACAAGGAUUUGGUAGAUCAGUUCCAGUUGCUGUGACAACUGUACGUCUAGUUAGGGAGGCUGAGAUUGAACUCAGAAGACCGUGUCUUCACCUUAUUCCCCUUGAGCUAAGGACACCCAAUCCUCGCCCAAUCACUCUGGUAAGUCUUCAAGGUAGGAUUCCAAACCUUCACAGACUCCAUUCACUGGCGAUCCACAAUGACUCUUGGAUCCUCAGAACGUGAUGCCUAACCGGUUGGGGGAUGCACAGUCCUCAAGUAUAACAAGUCUUCAGGGCACGCAGACAGAAAGACUUGAGUGAUGCCUAACACUCUUUUGACUGGAUGUUUUGGGCUUUGUCCUCGCAAGGAUCUCUCUCUCUCAAAGGCUUCGGAGGUGGGUUGCUCUCAAAUGACAAAAGCCGUGCACUAACUCUGAGCAACCACCAAUUUUGAUGUAGGGGUGGGCUACUUAUAGCUAGGAGGCAACCCGACAUGAUAUGACCGAAAUGACCCUGGGUCACUAAGGAACAGACACGUGUCCAACGGUCUUCAAACACAUGGGUAGCUUGGCUUGGACUACAAGCAAGGCUGACUCAUCCAACUCUGAAUAAGAUUUGCUCUUAUUGUCUUCGCUCGAGGACAUAGGAUUUUGGUUGAGCAUCACUUCAGUCAUGUGGCUUUGUUCACUUGGACCCCACUUAACAGUACGGUGAUUCCUAUGACUCAAUAAAGAAGAAAAUGAAACUACGAAGGAAACUAUGUCUUCGCACUCCAUAGUCUUCAAGUGAAUGUCUUCACAUGUCAUUAUCUUCAACGUGUCACGAACCACCCUUGUCUUCAAUGUCUUCAUACAUUUUAGGGGUGAUCUCUGGUAGGUAAACCGAAUCAAUGAGGGACUACUACCUGUGUUAUCCUGCAAUUCUAACAAACACAUUAGUCCCUCAACCAUGUUUGUCGUCAAUACUACAAAACCAAUUAGCGGUGGCACUAGAUGCACUUACACUUUGCGUUUCUCUGAGGCCCACAACAUGACACAUAAUACACAAAAUAAGAAAAACCGAAGAAAAUAGAUAAAUAAAAACACAGAAAAAAACAAGUCGGACAAGAUGGUUCUAUAGCAUGAUCUACUAGGCUGACCUGCUAAGGCGAGCACAUCGCCAUGUGUGUUUAGUUGAGAUGAAGGUUGGUCUCGCAAUAAAGCAAGGUUGUCAGAAUCGUGAUUCUGAAUCGGAUCAGAGCUCUGAUGGUAGGAUCGCAAAUCGUAGAAUCUUCACUAUCAGGAUCGUAGAAACGUAGAUUCUAAAGACUAAAAUCGUAGAAUCAAAGGGUUACUUUGGAUCGUAAAGUCGUAGAAUCGUAAAACAGAAUUGUGAUUCUGACAACCUUGCAAUAAAGACAUAGCUCCUAUGGUCGCAAGGUGUCACUGGUUCGCAUACGGGCGUUCCUCAUUGGGCCAACCCAUUUGUGUGGAACUAUUGUGAAUCGGUUAUAGUCUUAUUUUUCUGUCGGUUUCAAAAAAUAUGAAAAGCAAUCAUUUUAAAAAGUGAACAUUUGUUGGAAAAAUUAAAAAUGUUUUGUGGACACUUUUUUGGAAAAAGUGAUUUAAGAAAAUGUGAACAAUUUUUGAAUAUUCGUUUUAAACAUGGACAUUUAAAAUUGUGCAAAAUUUUCAAAUUGUUUAUACUACACGAAGGUUGUUUGAAAUUGUGAAAAAAAUAAAGGAUUAAGAUGAUAAAAACGAUUUUUUUCAAAACCAUGAACAUAUUUUGAAAAUAAAUAAAAGGAAAACGAUAAAAAUGGUAGAGAAAAAGGAAAAGGCCGGUCGAGAACCGGGUGAUCUAGACAUGUGCUAGGCCGGCCUAAUAGUAAUCGCCGUGUGAGUGCGUUGUUCAUUUCUACAACACUUUGAGCCUCAAAUAGUAAACACUAGGUGGAGCAACUUGUUCAACCCUUUCGCCGAGCCCUUCAAUGUCUUCAAAUAUGCACAAACUACACCUUUUUUGCGUGGGAGGGGGCGAGAGUUUAUAUUAAUUAACCUGGAUUAAGAUGAUCCAGGUUAAGAACACACACCACAUGGGAGGUAUCAAGUAACCCAUCCUCACAAUCUGCUCCACUACGAUGAUUCGUGGUUCAUAGCAAAGCAACAAGAGCAAUAGUUCUUUAAAAAGGAUUUAGAAAGUAAACCAAAAUAAAUCAAUAAUAUCUGUCUGCACUGUCAAAAUAAAGUAGAACUAUAGCGACAUGGGUCGCACGUGGAAGCAACUUGCACCCUCACUCUGCGCAUGCCAUCUUCGACCGAAUCAUUCUAGAAGAAAAGGUUUUUUUCGGGGAUCCUAAAAGAAAAGUUGGUCUCACAGAUACUUGAAUCAUGUAAUUAUGCCCUUCAAUUCUAAAUACUGUGUGGCUUUGGUGGUCUUGGAGUGGUUUUGACAAAAGUUUUAUCGAUGUUUAGUCCUAUCUCAUGGCUCCAACAUUGCUAUUUUUUCUUCAUAAAUCUCACCGGUUCUUUUUAAAGCAUAUAUAAAAUACUAGAGAGAAUAUCUAAUAAAUCAAGAAAACAUAAAAAUUAUCUGAUUGUUGGCUUUUUCAUGCUUGGAUAAUAUGCUAUUGGCAUCCUAAAAAAAGUUAUUGGCAAAACUAGGCAAUAUCAGAGAGCUCUGAAAAGAAAACAUAGUUAAGAGUUCUUUUGGCAAAUUUAAAGUCAACUAUUGGUCCAUCUGUCUCAUGCCUGAUUUAUUUCUUUAACAAAGAAAAACACAGAGUCGUUGGGAGGUGUACUUAGGUCUCUCGUUCCGCCUGCAGCAGCAAAGUCCAAAUCGUAGAAUCUGUGUUGAAACUGACCACACCGUGCCAAACAUGUUGGAUCCACAUUCAGGGUAUUGAUCAAUGUAGAGCCACAAUUAAUGAAAGUUGAAGGUAAGACAGAAGUAACAUUCAACAUAUCGAUCACCUGUUCGCACACGAACACAUCACGGUGUACCUCCAACGCCGAGGGUGAUGCACCGCAACUCAGUCGAAGGAGACCCGUCCGGAAGCGCGGUACGCAAGCAAUCCGGCGGGCGCUUUUGUAGACCUGAAACCCCACAUACCCGGAAGGGACAACGUCAGGGCGUGCGGCGGCUAUGAGCUGCCCUAGGUCGGCCUGACCGCCCCUAGGGCCUCAAGGUUCGCCGCCCUACAAUGAAGAAGAACGAACGAAGAACAAAGAAGAACAAGAACAAGGAAGAGGAUAAAAGUAAAGGUAAAAAGUGGUAGAUGAUUUUGUCGAUUGUGUGUUGUUCAAUGGGCCGUCACCCCUUAGGUAUGUAAGAGGCGGCUGGACUUCCCAUGCAAGGAAAAUGCUUGGAUUCACGUCCAAAACCCUAGUCAAAUUCGGAUUGGUUUUGUCCGAACUUUCCAAAACUGUUCGAAACCGUCUGCACCUUACGGGUCCUUUUUGUGGUAGUAAACGACCUCGGAUGAAAACGAAACCAAAAGCAAUCUCGACCGUUUUGACGAGGCGAACAACUUUCAUGUUGAACGUUUUUUGAUCAGAGGUCAUCUUGAGGGUCAAAUCGCUCGCGCAAAACAGGCUAUUAUUCACGCUACCUCGCGCAAAACAGACUAUUAUUCGCACUACCCAUCAGACAGGGUGUCUGGUGGGGCGUGCCAUUUUCUACCUACUUACAGAGCUGCAUUCCGAUGACUCUAACUUUUGCAUACGAACUUGAAUUGGAACGAUUUUUAUAUCAAAAUUGAUCGUUUCGACGAGGCGAAGACAAUCCAUGUAGAUCAUUUUCCAUACGAGGCAGUUUUGAGGGCGUAAUGAGCCGAAUAGUGUUCUGUAUACAAAAUCUCAGUAUUUCGAACACAACUUCGGCCUUUGAGAUGAGAUCGGAUGGCGAUGACCCAAACUUCAAAGAUGUUAAUAUCAACAAUACGGAAAUCUUUGAUGUAGAUCACUUCUAUAUUUGAGGUCAUCUUAAAUAAGUUCUUGAUCGUGCCAAAAUCUGUUGUCAACACAUGCCCCCCUGUUUUUCGGCAAAACUUGCGUGCCAAAAAAUAAUUUGCAAUGUAUUUGUUCUAAGGACGAUGCCAACACUCCAUCGGCCAUUUAUAUUUCUCAGGGCGAUAAUUAUGUAUCGGCCAUGUUUAUGCUAAGGGCGAUAGUUAUUUAUCGGCCAUGUCUUUGCUUAGUCAUAUGUGGGUCGUUGCUUGUUUGAACCUCUUGAUGCAACUUGGGUGAAAACUUCUCAACUUAUAUAACAAUUCGAUGAUAAGGUUCCAUAGAUAUGUAUCUCAAAGCCAUCAUUCGAACCAUAUUAUUCACCCUUUCGCUAAGAUUUUGCAGAUAAUCAAGAAUGAACUUCCUCCAAUCCUUACUUUACCUGCAUAAAAGUUUCAUUAGUGGCCGAGGUGGUGAUCUCCAAUUCGGCCUUACCUAUGUUGGCAAGAAUAAGCAUCGGCCAUUGAUAGAUGUGCAAUACACCAUGACGGACAUGGUAGCCGGAUGCUUGCUAUGCCAGCUCUCUCCAAUUGUCAUGUCUAAAUAUAUGAACAAUUCUAAUGCAACCCGAGGUAAAUUUUGCAUCUAGACAUACCCCAAAAUAAACUAUAAGUGAUUCGUCAAAACAUUGAUAACCCUUGGGUAUUUGUUGCACUACUCAUAACGAAUCACCGAAAGCCUCAAUAUGUAUAGUACCUAUAGCAAGUAAAAGAGUCAAUCCGAAUAACAAUGCAUAUUCGGCCUUGAUUAAUCGUGCAUAAAAAUAUUCUAAGAGGCAUGAGGCUUCACAAAUAGUACCAUAAGGAGAUAUAUAAACAACACCAACACUUUGGCCAUUGCUACGAGUUGAACCGUCAAAACAUAAUCUCCAUAGUACUAGAGAGACAAGGAUAUAUAAUAUCAAUACUAUGCAUGUCAUUAAUCCGAUGUUCAAUAAUAAAAUCAGCUAUGGUUUGGCCUCUUAUAGAUCUCAAAGACGCAUAAGCCAAAUCAUAUCCAAACAAAGUAUAAGCCCCCAGCCAAUUCUAUAACUAUGAAUUGGUCUAUGCAUCAUGUAUUCAAUGACAUCAGUCAUGAUGUCUUAACUCCAUUCAAAUAUAAAUAUAAAUUUCCAUGAGCACGUACCUUAUCUCGCUCUCCAUUCGAACUAAGGAUGAUGUUAGAGUACUACACCGGCCAUGCAUUGACAUAAUCUUAGGACGAUAGAUAAAUAUCGGCCAUUACCAUGUAAACUUGAAAUCCAAGUCUAUUUUUGACCUUUCAUGAAGAAGUUUUGCCUGCGCGCAAACUACCUAGCCGGUUGACACUACUGAAAGAUAAAAGAAUGGUGGAUAGAUGGAUUCGCACCAUCCCAAAACCGAAAUACAGACAGACCACCUAAAAUAGUCGUACCGCUCCCCCUUUAGAGAUAGAUUUCUUUAUUCUCUAAGCUAGCUAAACGCCCGAAACAUAAUAAGCUAAGCCUCCGUCGAUUUAGCCAAAGCAGGCCUGGAGAAAAUAAUGUAAACAAAUAAAAUGACAAAUCAAGUAUUUCGGCCCUUUGGAUCAGCAACAAACUUGUAGCUAAUCAAAUGUAUAGUGAUUUGGCAAUACCCUUUCAUGAUGUAAGAAAUUAUAUUGCAUCCAUGAAUUAAAAUAAGCCCAUUGAGGGUAACCAAUCAUACCUGAUGACGAAUUCCAUGGCAUAGGUAUCAACGGCAUAAAAUAAGAUGCCAACACUCCAUCGGCCAUUUAUAUUUCUCAGGGCGAUAAUUAUGUAUCGGCCAUGUUUAUGCUAAGGGCGAUAGUUAUUUAUCGGCCAUGUCUUUGCUUAGUCAUAUGUGGGUCGUUGCUUGUUUGAACCUCUUGAUGCAACUUGGGUGAAAACUUCUCAACUUAUAUAACAAUUCGAUGAUAAGGUUCCAUAGAUAUGUAUCUCAAAGCCAUCAUUCGAACCAUAUUAUUCACCCUUUCGCUAAGAUUUUGCAGAUAAUCAAGAAUGAACUUCCUCCAAUCCUUACUUUACCUGCAUAAAAGUUUCAUUAGUGGCCGAGGUGGUGAUCUCCAAUUCGGCCUUACCUAUGUUGGCAAGAAUAAGCAUCGGCCAUUGAUAGAUGUGCAAUACACCAUGACGGACAUGGUAGCCGGAUGCUUGCUAUGCCAGCUCUCUCCAAUUGUCAUGUCUAAAUAUAUGAACAAUUCUAAUGCAACCCGAGGUAAAUUUUGCAUCUAGACAUACCCCAAAAUAAACUAUAAGUGAUUCGUCAAAACAUUGAUAACCCUUGGGUAUUUGUUGCACUACUCAUAACGAAUCACCGAAAGCCUCAAUAUGUAUAGUACCUAUAGCAAGUAAAAGAGUCAAUCCGAAUAACAAUGCAUAUUCGGCCUUGAUUAAUCGUGCAUAAAAAUAUUCUAAGAGGCAUGAGGCUUCACAAAUAGUACCAUAAGGAGAUAUAUAAACAACACCAACACUUUGGCCAUUGCUACGAGUUGAACCGUCAAAACAUAAUCUCCAUAGUACUAGAGAGACAAGGAUAUAUAAUAUCAAUACUAUGCAUGUCAUUAAUCCGAUGUUCAAUAAUAAAAUCAGCUAUGGUUUGGCCUCUUAUAGAUCUCAAAGACGCAUAAGCCAAAUCAUAUCCAAACAAAGUAUAAGCCCCCAGCCAAUUCUAUAACUAUGAAUUGGUCUAUGCAUCAUGUAUUCAAUGACAUCAGUCAUGAUGUCUUAACUCCAUUCAAAUAUAAAUAUAAAUUUCCAUGAGCACGUACCUUAUCUCGCUCUCCAUUCGAACUAAGGAUGAUGUUAGAGUACUACACCGGCCAUGCAUUGACAUAAUCUUAGGACGAUAGAUAAAUAUCGGCCAUUACCAUGUAAACUUGAAAUCCAAGUCUAUUUUUGACCUUUCAUGAAGAAGUUUUGCCUGCGCGCAAACUACCUAGCCGGUUGACACUACUGAAAGAUAAAAGAAUGGUGGAUAGAUGGAUUCGCACCAUCCCAAAACCGAAAUACAGACAGACCACCUAAAAUAGUCGUACCGCUCCCCCUUUAGAGAUAGAUUUCUUUAUUCUCUAAGCUAGCUAAACGCCCGAAACAUAAUAAGCUAAGCCUCCGUCGAUUUAGCCAAAGCAGGCCUGGAGAAAAUAAUGUAAACAAAUAAAAUGACAAAUCAAGUAUUUCGGCCCUUUGGAUCAGCAACAAACUUGUAGCUAAUCAAAUGUAUAGUGAUUUGGCAAUACCCUUUCAUGAUGUAAGAAAUUAUAUUGCAUCCAUGAAUUAAAAUAAGCCCAUUGAGGGUAACCAAUCAUACCUGAUGACGAAUUCCAUGGCAUAGGUAUCAACGGCAUAGUUGAAGAAUAUGGAUAAUGUGUGGACCGAAGAUGUUGAAACCUUCGGCUUGGUCCUUCAUAGUUUUCACUCUUUUCCUUCUUCAUCUUUGCCGCACGUUGUGUAAUGGAUUCUUUCACAUAAUUCUUAUUUUGAGUACUUCCUUUAGGAACCCAUGCCAUGUUUCUUUCUUCAAGUUCUUGUGCACUAAGUUUUUGUAAUUUCUUCUUUUGCCAAUAUGAUAAGCCGAGUGAGCACCCCAGCUGUGAUUUUGUUUGAAGUAAUGGCAAUUCUUCUUUUACCUUGCCCACUCUCAACUUCUUCUCUUUAGAUUUGACACUUGAUUGACUUGCCUCAUUGCCUUUAGUAGCCAAUGUCAACACUUUAAUUGGCUCUUUGUUAUCUGAGAUCAAAUCUGAAGUAGCACACUUACGACCAUCUCUUUUCACGCGGUAAACUUGCUUGACCACCUCUUUCUUCUUCCAUGAGCUUUGGACCGAUUCCUUAUGAUUGAAACGGUCUUUGACGUGUGAUUUUUCAAAUGUUGAUCUUCUUGGAGCUGCAUAGUAUUGGUGAGAUGGUCUAAAAUAAGAUGGAGAAUGUGCCCUUGUAUCAUACUUGUCCCAUGAUGGAUAUGGAUUUACAUGAGCAUAAGGAGGCAUCCACGGCAUUGGCAUUGGCAUCCCAAAAUAAGGAUAUGAAUAUGUUGCGUUAAAAUUCUCAGUUUGCCAAUACCAAUCCUCAUAUUUGCGCUUUGGGGGUGAUCUUGGUUUCUUUGCAUGAUUUGGCCGAUAAGUAUCCUUCCCUUCACUCUUCUUUUGAUAUUUAUCCAAUAGUUCAGCGAAGGUGAUUUUUGAUCUCUUACACUUGCGCUUAUUUCGGCCUUUGUUUUCUUCUGGUUUGCUUUCGUCAAUCAUUGGAUAUGCUUGCUGCCCCCCUGUCCUUGGCGUCUCCAUUGUAGCUUCGAUGGAAUUCUCGCCCUCAAGAUUAUGUUCAUUAUGCUCUUCAACAACUUCUUUACUUGAAAGCUUGAUCCCAUCGCCUGCAGUUUUUACCUUCUCUUUAAAUAGAUCGGCUUGAAGCAGCCGAUGCAAAAACUUUUUGCCAUCGGGACCAAUCGGAAUAGACUGGUCAUCUCUUGGUGUUUCAACAAACUUCAAUCGUCCUUUUUCAAUAGCCGAUUUAACUAUUUGACGAAACAUGUUGCAAUCCUCAAAAUUAUGCUUGGACGAAUCAUGCAACUUACAAUACAUUCGUCCUUGCAUUGAUGGCUUAACAUGGUGAUCAAGAAUUGUAAUGUAAUUAUUUUUCAGCAACAAAUCAAAUAUUUGAUCACACAUGCUUGAAUUGAAGGUAUACUUCUUGUUUUCUAGCCGAUCUUGCUGUGUGAACGGCUUUGGAGAUAAGCAAACGAAUGGUUCAGAUUUGGAAUCUCCCCAUUCGGCUAUGCAUUGUGUUUUCCACUCUAUCUCCGAUGUCUUUGGAUAAGAUAUUAUAUUAGCAUCGAUUUUCUCAAUAGAAUUUAACAUUGCCUUUAAAUUUCUGAAAUGAAGAUAUUUAGAACAUACAUGUCUCAGUUGAGACCAAGUGCAAGCCAAGUACGAAAUAAGAAAAGCUACCCAACUAGAUAUGAACUUUAGAUAAAGCAACGGGGAAAGCUUUGGCUGUAACAAUAAGUCAUUAUCGGUCUUUAUAAAUGGCGCAAUGGGUUGACCGAUAUGUUCCAUAACAAUUUUAUUGCUAACAAGUAAAUUACCCUUCUUCAUUGGUCUUUCGAAAUUACUUAUGAGAAUAUUUCUUAUAUAUGCAUCAAUAAUGAAGUUGCGACCAAAUCUGAAAAUAGGUAAAUUACUCGCUAUGCAUACCUCUUCAAAUACGUUGGGAGAGCAUGAUGGUGGUGUGACUUGAACAAUAUCUAGCUUCGUCUUUGGAUGACUCUCCAAUGCCUUUUCAUCAUCAUUUUCUUUAUUCUGUGCAUCAUUACCUUGAAGAUCCUUAUCAGCCGAACUUUGUUUGGCUACUUGCUCUUGUCCUUGAGGCUUGUCAAUUUCUACGGCACGGAGCUCAUAGGGCAGGAAGUAGGUUCCAUUAACUUCAGAAAAAUCAAGCAUGGUUGUUUUGCUAUGCUUGCCAUGCCCUUUCUCAAUAAUGCUUGCCUCUUUGGAUUUGAUGGAUUCAGAAUAUAUAUACUACUUGAUUCGGCUUUUUCAACCGAAGCACUUUCAAGUUCCGAAUCAUUCUUCUUUUCAUUGAUACUACCAAUUGGCAAUGCUUCUUUUAUCUGAGCCAAUUCUUUUUCUAUUUGUUUCUGGCAGCGAGCGGCAAAGUUGGCUUUAAGCUUUUUCUCAAUUUCAGCCCACUCCGGAUAUGAUUGCCCCUCAAUGCUUUUAGAUUCUUUCGAAAAUGACACAUGGGUGUUGCCAAAAUUUUGCAAUAGUGUAGGGGUGUAUAAUAUGAUGUAGUACUAGGUGAAGGCAUAUGCAUUGUUGUAAAACCAUAUUUUUGCUCGCCGAUUUUAUCAAUUGGCAAAGAUUCAUCUUCUUGCAAAACUCUAGCUUUUAUUGCGGCCUAAUCAGGAAAUAACCCCUUUUCAUGUUGUUCAAGGCAAAGAGCACUAAUCCUCUUAUUUUUGGGCUAAACUCUUCAAUGAAGCCACUACUACCUCAUCUUCUACAAUAUUGGGCACAACCGCUCCUGUAAAUUUACAUUUAUUCGGCUAUGACCAGGAAGGUCGGAAGCCGAAUUAUGAACAUCUACAGUUGUGUAUGAUGCUGAAAAAUUAUUGUCAUUAGGUGUAGCAUAUGAUGGUUGAGAGUAACUGACUGAAUAGCUAGUAGUAGUAUGGCCAAUUCUCUCGUUCAUCGGUAUGGUUGGAUUAGUAUAUUGCACAUUACUUGCCGAUGAAUAAAAGGGUGAAACACUUUCUUGCAUGGCAUUGGAAAUUCUAACAUGAGGUGUUUCAAAUUUAUUAACCAAACUCACCAUGUUGUUCAUCGGCAUAACGAUUUGUGUGGUUGCCAAUGCAUGAGAGUUGGGAUACAUAUGGUGCAUGUUACUAGUAUCAUAAGAAGUUGAAGCAUGUAAAUUACUUUGAAUCGGCCUAUGCACAUAAUUAGAUGCAUGAUUGAACAAACUAGGGCUGGCCGAUAGAGUAUACUCAUUGAACGAUCUAGUAACACCAUAUGAAUUAUUUGCAUCUAUAAUAGGGAAUUGGGUAUUCAUAUUACCUUUGUAGAUUGCAAAACCUAGAUAACGAUCUCUUCGUAGCAAGAACGGGCUGGAGACCGUUCAAAGCUUCAUCCUCAGGGGAGUCGCCAAAAAGUGUGUUCACACACACGAACACGUCACCGGGUACCCUCGACGCCGGGGGUGAUGCACCGCAGCUCACGACGAAGGAGACCCGUCCGAAAGCGCGGUACGCAAGCAAUCCGGCGGGCGCUUUUGUACACCCGAGACCCCACACGCCCGGGAGGGACCCCACCAGGGCGCGCGGCGGCUAUGGGCUACCCUAGGUCGGCCUGGCCGCCCUAGGGCCUCGAGGUUCGCCGCCCUACAAUGAAGAAGAACGAACGAAUAACGAGGAAGAAGAAGAACAAGGAAGAGGAUAAAAGUAAAGGUAAAAAGUGGUAGAUGGUUUUGUCGCUUGUGUGUUGUUCAAUCGGCCGUCACCCCUUAGGUAUAUAAGAGGUGGCUGGACUUCCCGUACAAGGAAAAGGCUUGGAUUCACGUCCAAAACCCUAGUCAAAUUCGGAUUGGUUUUGUCCGAACUUUUCAAAACUGUUCGGCUUAAAAUUGCUGCACCUUGCGAGUCCUUUUUGUGGUAGUAAACGACCUCGGAUGAAAACGAAUCCAAAAGAAUGUUUCGACGAGGCGAACAACUUUCAUGUUGAAUGUUUUUUGAUUAGAGGUCAUCUUGAGGGUCAAGUCGCUCGCACAAAACAGGCUAUUAUUCGCGCUACCUCGCGUAAAACAGGCUAUUAUUCGCGCUACCCAUCAUACAAGGUAUCUGGUGGGACGCGCCAUUUUCUGCCUCCUGACAAAGCUGCUCUAACUUUUGCAUACGAACUUGGAUUGGAACGAUUUUUAUAUCAAAAUUGAUCGUUUCGACGGGACGAGGACAAUUCAUUUUUCCGACGGGACGAGGACAAUUCAUUUUUCCAUACGUGGCAGUCUUAGAGCAUUUUUCCAUAAGUGGCAGUCUUGGAGGCGUAAUGAGCCAAAUAGUGUUUCGAAUACAACUUCGGCCUUUGAGAUAAGAUCAGGUGGCGAUGACCCAAACUUCAAAGAUGUUCAAAUCAACAAUACAGAACUCUUUGAUGUAGGUCACUUCUCCAUUUAAGGUCAUCUUAAAUAAGUUCUUGACCGUGUCAAAAUCUGAUAAACACUAUAUUUCUUCAUAAUCUGUGCACAGUUUCUGUAGAAAAGGACAGGCCGUGACCAAGUUUUCAGUGGUGACCAGUUCCCGCUUGCCAUUUUCAGAUACCCCAAUGAAUUUUUCUUUCAGAACAAUGUAUCUUUCCAGCUGCUUGAGAAAAUGAAAAGAGCGGGAAAGCCAUUUUUCUCUUGAUCCUGCCCAUCCGAACUGGAAGCAAAAAAGGUCAAAUUUUGUUUAUUUCUCACUUAUUCAUCACCAAAUCUGUAGGUGAUUACUCAAGUACAUAAACGACUGGCAAAAGAAACACAAUACAUAGUUGUCUCGCCAGACUCGAUCGGCAAGAACAAGACACACUGUAGCAUACACGUCAAUCAAACUGGCUCCAAUGCUCAGCCGGAUAUCUCGAUGGCCUUCACCUCGGGCUUCUUGACGUGGGCCUUUGGCACGGUGACGGUGAGCACGCCGUUCUCCAGCCCGGCCUUCACCUCCUCCACCUUGGCGUCCUCCGGCAGCCGGAAGCGCCUCGCGAACUUGCCGCUGCUGCGCUCCACGCGGUGCCACUUGUCGUUCUUGUCCUCCUUCUCCCUGCUCCGCUCGCCGCUGACGACGAGCACGUUGCCGUCCUCCACCUCCACCUUGACCUCCUCCUUCUUCACGCCGGGGAGGUCGGCCUUGAAGACGUGCGCCUCGGGGGUCUCCUUCCAGUCCACGCGAGCACUGGCGAACGCGGCCGUCUCGCUGCUGCUGCCGCCUGAGAUCGCCGGGACGAUGGAGCGGAAGGCGUCGAAGGGGUCCGCCCAGAGGUCGGCGAAGGGGUCGAACACGUUGCUCCGCCGCACGAUCGACAUCGUCGGUGUUGAUUGCUUCGGCUUGUGCGCUCGGAAAAUUCUGUGGAUCGUAGGUAGGAAUAGGAUGCUGUCUGCUUUUGCUUGAAACUGAUCUGAGUUAGGAUGGAGGGCGACGGGAGGCGAGGUACUUAUAGCGUCGCAGGUGCUGCUCUUGAAGCAUCUCGAGCACUCUGCAAUU
rnacentral:lncRNA from 1 species